GAAUUUUGGACAAUGGGCGAAAGCCUGAUCCAGCAAUGCCGCGUGCAGGAUGAAGGCCUUCGGGUUGUAAACUGCUUUUGUACGGCACGCAAACCUUUGGGUUAAUACCCUGGAGUCAUGACGGUACCGUAAGAACAAGCACCGGCUAACUACGUUCCCGCAGCCGCGGUAAUUCGUAGGGUGCAAGCCGUAACCGGAAUUACUGGGCGGAAAGCGUGCGCAGGCGGUUUUGUAAGACAGAGGUGAAAUCCCCGGGCUCAACCUGGGAACUGCCUUUGUGACUGCAAGGCUAGAGUACGGCAGAGGGGGGUGGAAUUCCGCGUGUAGCAGUGAAAUGCGUAGAUAUGCGGAGGAACACCGAUGGCGAAGGCAACCCCCUGGGCCUGUACUGACGCUCAUGCACGAAAGCGUGGGGAGCAAAC
rnacentral:rRNA from 1 species